UUUUUUCAAAAAUUGAUAACUUCUUUAUUUGGAAUCACAAAAAUAUGGGACCAAUUGCAAAAAUUUUCUCUUAAAUUCUAGUUUCAUAAAAUGAUUUUUAAUUAUUUUUGUGAUUCCAUUUAAUAUUUUUUGUGAAUUAUUUCAUUUUUGAUUGUUNAAAUGAUUUUUAAUUAUUUUUGUGAUUCCAUUUAAUAUUUUUUGUGAAUUAUUUCAUUUUUGAUUGUUUUUAAUUCAUUUAAAAUACCAUUUGAUAUUCAAAAAUGCCAAAAAU
rnacentral:lncRNA from 1 species